UACGAAGGGGGCUAGCGUUGCUCGGAAUCACUGGGCGUAAAGCGCACGUAGGCGGAUUGCUAAGUCAGGGGUGAAAUCCUGGAGCUCAACUCCAGAACUGCCUUUGAUACUGGCGAUCUUGAGUCCGGGAGAGGUGAGUGGAACUGCGAGUGUAGAGGUGAAAUUCGUAGAUAUUCGCAAGAACACCAGUGGCGAAGGCGGCUCACUGGCCCGGUACUGACACUGAGGUGCGAAAGCGUGGGAGCAAACAGG
rnacentral:rRNA from 1 species